UACAGAGGGGGCAAGCGUUGUCCGGAUUUAUUGGGCGUAAAGAGCGUGUAGGCGGCCACACAGGUCAGCUGUGAAAACUCGAGGCUCAACCUCGAGACGUCGGUUGAAACCGUAUGGCUAGAGUCCGGAAGAGGAGAGUGGAAUUCCCGGUGUAGCGGUGAAAUGCGCAGAUAUCGGGAAGAACACCCGUGGCGAAGGCGGCUCUCUGGGACGGUACUGACGCUGAGACGCGAAAGCGUGGGGAGCGAACAGG
rnacentral:rRNA from 1 species